rnacentral:rRNA from 1 species
CACCGCGGUUAGACGAGAGGCCCCAGUUGAUAUUAUAACGGCGUAAAGGGUGGUUAAGGGUAAACAAAAAUAAAGCCAAAUGGCCCCUCGGCCGUCAUACGCUUCUAGGUGUCCGAAGCCCUAACACGAAAGUAGCUUUAAAAGACUACCUGACCCCACGAAAGCUGAGGAA